AUUUUCUGUAUGGUUUCCUAGAAACAAACCUUUGGCUCAACUUACCCCACUCUCCCCUACAGUAAAUAGCCUGAAGUUAAGGAAUGUAACCGUAUUUUUUCAACCUUAAAGUAAGCAACACAUCCAUGGCCACAAUUUGAGGUUACUGUUAGUAGCAUACCACCCUGCAUACCACUGCUGGCUUGCUUCUGAAGCUAAGCAGGGUUGGUCCUGGUCAGAUGCUGCUGGAAGUGGUGUUGGAGGGCCAGUAGGAGGCACACUUUCCUCUGGUCUAAAAAAGAUCCCAUUGCCCCAGGGCAGUGAUUGGGGACACUGCCCUGUGUAGGGUGCUGUCUUUUGGAUGAGAUGUUAAACGGGUUUCCUGACUCUCUGAGGUCAUUAAAGAUCCCAUGGCACUUAUUGUAAGAGUAGGGGUGUUAAACACCGGUGUCUUGGCUAAAUACCCAAUCUGGCCCUCAAACCAUCACGGUCACCUAAUAAUCCCCAGUUUACGAUUUUCUCAUUCAUCCCCCUCCUCUCCCCUGUAAAUAUUCCUCAGGUCGUUGCUGUAAAUGAGAACGUGUUCUCAGUCAACUUACCUGGUAAGAUAACGGAUAAAUAAAAAAUAUAAAUAAAUAAAUGUCUUAUGUAAUCAUAGAAAGAGUGCAUGUUCAAGAUAGCAUGCUACGGUUGUAGGUCUGUAGAGACAAUUGCAAACAUAAUCUGUGCAGAAUCUCAAACAGCAUUGAUCACUUGCACCAUGUGUAUACUUUUAAUGUCAUCUCAACAGCAAUCCAGGUCAUUUGGUUCUGCUGUUAGAUGAAGCACAGUGAUAACACAUUGAUGUUGUUGUAUAAAAAAAACGAAAUAACUGACAUUGUAUUCCCAUUUUAACUUUUUGUGCCUUUAAAUGGUUGAAAGCGCAGUGAUAACACAUUUAAGUGACAAAUACACCAAAAUUCAGACAUCGUUUUUCCAUUGGAAUUUGGUUGUGUUUUUAGAUGUUUGAAAGCAUUGUGAAACACAUUGUGAAUUCAAAAACCAUUUGCCUAGGUGACUAUAGGCUGUAAUCUCAUUGAUCUCAACGUCUCAACCAAAUAUUACCCAACUGUCCACGUUGAAAUGACGUGAUGUGCCCAAUGUGUAACAUUUUUCAAUACUGUAUUCUCUCAUUACAAUUUACACAUCAAACCCCAACCCACGCCCUCUUUAACCGGGCUCACUUUUAAGUGCAAUUAUUCUCUGCUUCCUCAAUGGCUCUGGAAUGAAAAAAGUGAAUUAGUAACCGCUGUGAUGACAGAUUUUCCUAUUAAAAAUGAGCCCAAAAGUAUGAAUAGAGCAGAUUUGCUUGGAAUGGAUUGACUGUGAAUGUCAAAAGCACUGUGGUUUUCUUCCUGCUGUGUCUGAAGUUGAGCGAGAGUACUUCCUUUUUAAGUGAAUUAAUUCCUUGAAUUAAACUGCCUGGUCUUUCGGACCCUCUUUGCCCUGAAAGAGCAGCUUAGCUACUGUGACUUUGUUCACAUUGUGAACAACAACAAAAAGUGCAUCAAACUUUCAUCCCCAGAAACUUUCCUGUGGAGGUAAAAGUCUUCUUUCUAUGUUGGUCUGCGUCUGUCUUUCUCUCUGUCCAUCUCUGUCUCUCUCGUCUUCUCUGUCGCUGCCUCUCUAUCUCUCUCCCGUUCGCUCUCUCUCUGUCGAGAGUUACACCUUGUAUCCUAUGCUCUUUAAUUCAAAUGUUCAGGGUUUCAACCCUGAGCAUAUUUUUAUAACGCAUUGGCGAGAGACCCCCCCCCCCCCGAACACUGGUCUGGUCUGGCGGGGCCAUCGACUGGUCUCAGAGAGUGAAUAUCUGUUGCCUGGCAACAAAACACAGGUCACCUUGUCAGCUAAUGCUUAAAUCUAUCCAAUUUAGUACCGAGAGAGCUCCUAUAGAUGUUUCAGUCAUUGAACAUGCACUGUUCUAUCGCUGACAUUUUGUUGUUGUCAUUGAUGUCAGCACACAGAAUGUAUGUGUUCAGAUAUAUUUUUAUGGCUACUGAAAUCAUCCCUGACCACAAAUUACUUUAGAUUCUGGGAGUUUUUGUUGCGAUUGCAGCCCAUUUCGUUAUCAUUUCCCUCAAUGAAAUGGCUACAUGCUGCGGAAAUAUGUAUCAAGACUAUAUAUCUCAGCCACCUGUCCAGAGGUACUUUAGUGUAAAAAAAAUACCACAAUUUAUGUAAGAUUAUAUACAUUAGUGAUGAGUAACUCCCAGCGCUUCUGUCUUUCAGUAACAAUAACCGUUCAAAUGAAUGUACAUACAAUCUAAACUGAUCUCACAUUGGGAGGUGAGAAAAACAAUGUUUUUGUUUUCUGUGAUUAAAAAAUCAAGUCUCAAUUUUGCCCCAAGUGUGCAUGGUGUUGUGAUGGCGUUGGAUUUGAUUUAUUCAUCGUAUCUUAUUUACAGUGUUGAGUAAUUCAACUACAUUUUGCAGUAUUUUGAUGAUAGUUUAAUUAAAUUCAAAUCUUGGUGUGUUCAGUAGUUAAUUACUUGUUAGCCAUGUAGCGGUCUAGCUAACUACUGGAACUACAGACUACUUAUUUUUGCAAAAAGAUCAUUCAAUAUGCGUGAAAUAUGCAAUUAUUUCCUUUUUCGGCAUCAGACCUGCCUUAUUCUCACUGGAAACAGUUUUGUGUUUAAUAGUGUAAAUUACACAUUCUGUUAACACCUGAAGUCCCACCCUGGCCAUAGAGAGGCUUUUAUUCUCUAUUUUGGUUAGGCCAGAGUGUGACUAGGGUGGGCAAUCUAGUUUCUUUAUUUCUAUGUUUUCUAUUCCUUUGUUUUUGGCCAAGUGUGGUUCCCAAUCAGAGGCAGCUGUCUAUCGUUGUCUCUGAUUGGGAAUCAUACUUAGGUAGCCUUUUCCCCACCUGUGUUUUGUGGGUAGUUGUUUUCUAUAGUUUAUUUGCCUUACAGAACUGUUUGUUUUUCUCUUUAUUUUGUUCGAGUGUUUUUUGAGUAAUAAAGAAUCAUGAACACUUACCACGCA
ensembl:lncRNA